GUCCCCGCAAAACGUAACUAUAGCCUUAUUUAAGCUCUGUUAUACUUUUCAGUAUGUUAUUUUUAACAAGCACUAAUUUGAUGGUGUUGCAUCUUACCCAAUUAUUUUGCUCAGAAUACACUAAACUUAAACAGCUAUGGUCAGUCUUACACUUGCAGUGAGGAUGAGUUCUUUUUGCUUCGUAUUGAAGGUCUCGCUGUGACCAAGGAUUUCAAUAAAAAGAGCUGUUCCUUUGCGUUUGUGUUAUUGUGCUGUAUGUGUACUGGUUUUGUGUAAUGAGUGGUAGGUAUACAAUAUACUUUUUUUUUCUUGCAAGGCAAAGUCUUAUAUUUUGAAAAGAAGGAUCUCUCUACAAAAUUAUUUAUUACCAUAAAAUACAUGUAGUUUACAACAGUGAUUAAUAUAUUGUAACGUUGUAUUGUAGAAUCAUUUGUCCCUUUCAAUGAACUAUCGGCUUGUAAAUGAUCCGUUUUUAUUUUCUAAAAAGCAGAUAAUUCUAAAAAUGUUGUGCGCAAUUAUAGAUAAUUCGUCAUAGAUGCAAUAUUUUAUAUUAUGUGACUUUUCAUUUUUCAACAAGACUGUACUAAUAUAUUUAUCAGGAAUGUAACAUACUUUUUGUUUUGUUUUGUGAAUCAAUGAAUUCCUAGCACUAGUACCGAAUACCGUUCUGCAACUAUACUUUUCAAUAAAAAAAAAAGAGGUGCACGACUUUCGAAAUCAAUCGUAUGUUUCAUGUGUCCAGCAGCAUCUGUUGACCCUACCUGGGCACCUGAGAUCAUAUUUGUUUUAUAUUUGCAAGGUGUUUCUAAAUCUAUGUUUUAUAUGUUUACUGCUAUAGUUAAGCUGUUGUUUGUCGUUGUUCGUUUUUGCUUUUUGAUUAUUUGUUUUGACUUGUUCUCGAAUUAUGAGUUUGAGUAUACCUUCGGGAUCCUCCUAUAAUAACAACUGUCGGGUAACUGCUGCUAUAAAUUGUUUAAGUCAGGGACUAUCUUUUGGUCUGUUGGUUUUUUUUCUUUUUAGAGCCUUAAAUGUAAGUACAAACUAUUGUUUCUUUCCGAUUUUAGCGUCAAAAGUAACAUAACCAGUAUAAUUUGAAAGACUGGCUGAAGUAACCACAUUUAGUUUGACAUGUAUAUUCAGAUUCAAUUUUUAAUUGGUACAUAUGUUCACUGAACACAAAAUUUCGCUCGCCUUUUGCAACAAUUUUAUUUUAAUAGUGUAAGAAAUCAACAGGGACAACUUAAC
rnacentral:lncRNA from 1 species